rnacentral:misc_RNA from 2 species
AUUCUUCAACCCUCUCUUUUCUUAGUGAUUAGAGAGGAGUUUGGAUUCUGAGUGUUGCUCCUAACCCGAGCUCAUUCGUAAUGUAUUAGCAUCCAUAUUCGAAUUUCGGAUUGACUUGGCGUAAUAGACUAUUCGCUGAGGAAUCUAACUUCGGUUAGAGCCGUGUUUGAACUAGGAAGCUACUAAUCUAGCUUAGUCUACUUUUAG